rnacentral:lncRNA from 1 species
GAAACAUAGAUUGGAUGUCCGUCAUCAAAGCCACGUUUUCCUCUCUGAAUCUGGUCAAGACCCCAAAGAGGGAAUUAGUAAGGUCGGGACCUUGCAACAGCUGACCAUUCAAGGAGGCUCCUUUGAAUCCUGCUCCACAAUCAAAGACAACUCUCAGGGUUUUUUCUUGGGUGUUAUACGCCGUGAUAAGGGAGAUACCACACACUGCCAUUCUUUCCAUCCAGUUGAUCCUCAGGCACUAUUUCAGCAUAUCCACAGUCAAUCAUAUCAUUCAGGAAUGCUGUGUAUUCCUCCUGGUAGGUUUUGUUCCUUUCAAAUUUCCUUUUGAGAGUUUGAGCACGCUGUUCCACAAUGCACCGGUUGUUAGGCAUGGUGAUGUCAUCCACUUUAAAAGGUAAGUCCAUGUAGUAGUGAUUGUCCUGCAUGGAAGCAGACUUUUCCAAGAGCUCCAUAAAUCUCAGAUCCUCCCUUGACAUCUCCUGCCUCUCCUCCAACACCUUCUCAUUGAAGUCCUGGUUGUAUUGAGAUAUCAACAGCUCCUCCAGCCGGGCAACGGAUAUCCUAUUGACACAAAUGGUUGAGCAGCUUCUCUGGCAACAACCACUAUUGCCCCUCACAGGACCGUUGAUGACCCACCCCAAUAGUGAUGGUGAUUUCAUUUUGCCUUUGCAUAAUCCAACAAAUACCACCCUGAUCUAUUGUAUUGUACACUGAUGAUCCAUUUUGUGCAGGCUGAUGCUUAGGAAUGCGUUCAUGUGAAAUUACUGGCCUGAGAGGUGCAGACUUAAAAUCUGAGACAUUUUGAGAAUGAGGCUGCAGAGAAAUUGCAUGAGACAUCCCUUUAUUUGGUAGCAACUGUGGCUUAAGAGUGAGGUCCUUUGAUAGUGAUGUUCUGAGUUGGUCCUGUAGGUAGGUUUGCAUAUUAACUUUAGGUUGCACAUCACACAUUAGAGCAUGUGGCAGAGUUGGGCCUUGAUCAGCAGCUGUGAUGUUUCCUUUUGGCACAAAUUCAGUUGCUUUUGGGUUGAACUCCUGUUUUGCCACUUUAAGUUCCUUACUCAAAUAAGAAUUCAUGCCAUCCGAACAAAUGGAAACAUCGCUGCCUUCCAGCACAGCGAGCCGUGCAGCAGCAAUGGCUAUUUGUGCAUCCAGCUCCAUUUACUCCUUCCUUUUCUUCAGUUUGAUUGUUUCUUGCCUUAGUUUUUCCUCCUGCUCCUCCAAUUCCUGUCUCCUUCACAGAGCAGCAGCUCUCUCCUCCAAAGCUGCCUUUUCUGCCUUUGCCUUUAAACAUGCAGAUGAGACACCAGAAACAUGUGAUCUGUGAGAGCUGCCCUUCCUGCUAGACCUUUGGGCUUUCACAUUGGACACACUAUCAGAAUGAUCAAUGUCAUCAUCGCACUCAGCUUCCUUAUUUUUCUCACCACCGUCAUGUUCAUUUUUACCAUCCACAGCAUUUUCAACACCUGUUGCAUUUUCAACACGUUCAACUUCAUUUUCCUUCAACCAUGUUGAUACCUUUUCAACAAAAACAUCAUCGUUGGACACUUUUGCAUGAAACCAUGCUUCCUGUCUUUCCUGCUCCUCCUCAGGGAGAGAAAACUCAGUGAGCAAUGUGUUGUGGAGUUCACAGGCCUUUUCACACAGUGUUUUAAAUAUUGUUAGGUUGUGUUGAACAACGGAGACAUUUUCUUUGGAAACCAAGAGAGUUCUGAUUUGCCCCUUUAAUUUGCCGGCUUCUUUAAACUUCCCAUUCCUUUCCUUCUGAACAUUUUCAAGCAUCAUCAUUAGUCCUUUAGCAGUAGGUUUUUAAUUUUUUUUUUCUGUUUCACCAUUCUGGGUUUCCUUCGGCUCAUUUUCAUCAGCAACACUGUGUAAAUCACUCAUUUCAACAGAUGUUUAUUAGUUUGAGACGUGCUUUCAAAGGGAUCAAUGCUGCGUUUUUUUUUUUUUUACAGCUGCGUCCAAACAACAUACUAGAGCCUCCAGUAACAAUGCUUUACUCAUCAACAAUUUCACAUGAAAUUAUUGAAGCCAUCACGUUCAAAAGGCAGUCUCUGCCGCAGCCAACGCUUUUCCGUUUUCAUCAAUAAUCCAGUUACGUACAAACAUACGUGACUUAACAGCUCUAUGCACAAAGCGGACUUUCCGGAGCAAGUGACAGGAACUUUUCCUACCUUUCCACGGAGACAGAUUGAUGAAUGAUUACCAGCCAGAGCCAGGUGAGUUAGCAGCGCUGCAAUCCACAUUUCCAAGUGCUCCAAUUGUCCAGGUGAGAUCGGGUUUUUACUUGUAUAGCGACUAUCCUGGCAACAUUUUAGCCACUCAGCUGGGUGUCGGGCUGGGACAAUGUUUUUGACGCGCUGUGUGUGAUGAAUGGAUGAAGGGAUGAUUGUCCAAUCCGUACUUUUGGGUGAGGUUCCCAUUUAUUUUCAACAUUACAAAAGACAGGUUAUUUUAGCGAUGUAGUGGUGAGGUGUUAGGCUACAGACUGUGAUUGUACUGAAGUGAAGUGAAGCCGAACGGAGAGCUGUGGACCGGCGUAGCGUGCAGUAAAAACUGUGUAGUCUUCCCGCCACCCAUGCCUCCUGACUGCCAACACACCUGUGUCUUAAUUACUUCCUCCAUUACCAGACACCAACAAUCACACUAGCCAACACCGCCACCCAGUGACCACUUAAACUAACAACCAGACAGAAAAUAGACAAUGGCUCCUAUAAUAGUAAUUGCUACGUUUUUUAUCAUUCCUGUGGACACCACUGGCUUAAAUAAAUUUGUUCACCUGCACUGUCCAGGUCAGAUGUUUUCUGCAUUUGGAAACUACCAUCUUGGAGUAUGCAAGAACAUACUUUCUUCAUACCUGCAAAAAGUAUAAGCUCUUAAUCACAACAGGAUAAACAGGCUGCCUAAAUAAGGGGUUCUGUGAGGGUUUUGAGUUUAUGCAGCAGUUGGGUUUCCUGUGUUCCUCUCCUCCGUGUGUGCUCUCCCUCUCCCUCUCUCUCUGCAGCGCUGGAGGCAUGGCAGGAGGCGGGGCUGGCCCGGACUGAUUGCACGUGUGACAAAAUGGAGGGUUCAAAAAUUAAAUUUUUGUUGCCGAACAACGCCACCUGGGGAGUUUCACCCUAGGAAAUACACCAGACCCUUACAAACUGAAGGUCACACAGAUUCGUUACACCAAAAAUAGGGAGGACGAGAGACGGACUUCCAAAAAGAAUAACACUUUUAUUGAUUAAAACUUUCGUUUUUAAAAGAGCACAAAUAUGAAUAAUAAUCGUCUGAGUGCCAAUAAACAAUAAAUGCAGUAAAGAAACAAAAGCGGGAACAAGGAGACUUGGUAGCAAACAGACUAAAAUAAAAAGGAAAAAUUCAAAACCGAAGAAAACCACUGCAAACCAAAGAAAAUCACGACAAGCCAAAGAAAUGACUACAAACCAAACCACCAUGUGCCGCAGCAA